CCUACGGGAGGCAGCAGUGGGGAAUAUUGCACAAUGGGGGAAACCCUGAUGCAGCGACGCCGCGUGAGUGAAGAAGUAAUUCGUUAUGUCAAGCUCUAUCAGCAGGGAAGAAAAAGACGGUACCUGAGUAAGAAGCCCCGGCUAACUACGUGCCAGCAGCCGCGGUAAUACGUAGGGGGCAAGAGUUAUCCGGAUUUACUGGGUGUAAAGGUAGCGUAGACGGCUGUGCAAGUCUGGAGUGAAAGGGUGGGGCUCAACCCCAGGAGGGCACUGGAAACUGGACGGCUGGAGUGCAGGAGAGGUAAGUGGAAUUCCUAGUGUAGCGGUGAAAUGCGUAGAUAUUAGGAGGAACCCCAGUGGCGAAGGCGGCUUUCUGGACUGUAACUGACGUUGAGGCUCGAAAGCGUGGGGAGCAAACAGGAUUAGAUACCCCUGUAGUC
rnacentral:rRNA from 1 species